AGUGAACGCUGGCGGUAGGCCUAACACAUGCAAGUCGAACGGCAGCACAGUAAGAGCUUGCUCUUACGGGUGGCGAGUGGCGGACGGGUGAGGAAGAAAUCGGAAUCUACUUUUUCGUGGGGGAUAACGUAGGGAAACUUACGCUAAUACCGCAUACGACCUACGGGUGAAAGCAGGGGAUCUUCGGACCUUGCGCGAUUGAAUGAGCCGAUGUCGGAUUAGCUAGUUGGCGGGGUAAAGGCCCACCAAGGCGACGAUCCGUAGCUGGUCUGAGAGGAUGAUCGGCCACACUGGAACUGAGACACGGUCCAGACUCCUACGGGAGGCAGCAGUGGGGAAUAUUGGACAAUGGGCGCAAGCAUGAUCCAGCCAUACCGCGUGGGUGAAGAAGGCCUUCGGGUUGUAAAGCCCUUUUGUUGGGAAAGAAAAGCAGCAGGUUAAUACCCCGCUGUUCUGACGGUACCCAAAGAAUAAGCACCGGCUAACUUCGUG
rnacentral:rRNA from 1 species